ensembl:lncRNA
GCUGUAUGAAGCUGUGUAAAGCUGUAUUGGGCUGUAUUAGGCAUUGCGUCGUCCUGAACCUUCUUUCAGCAUUCUAGUUCCAGUCUACCUUCCACUGCUCAGACCUCAGCGGCCCAGUAAAUGGUUGAGAUCAGCACAUCACAACUAUCAAAUAUCAAUGGCUUUACAUGGCUAACAGCGCUAGAGGCUGUUCAUCUGACAGAGAGAAAAAACACUAUAUGACAGCUUCCGGACAGGGAUAAGAGGGAGAGAAGUAAAGAGAGGGAUGGAGAGAUGUGAGAAGUGGAGGAUACAGGCUAGCCAGCAUUCUGAAGACAGGAAAAGAGAGCGACAAACAAUUGAGAGAGAGAGCGAGAGCGAGGGAUCGAGAACGAGGGAGCGAGAGAGAGAACGAGAGAGAACGAGCGAGAGCAAGAAAGAGAGAGAGAGAUUGAGCGCAAGAAAGAGGGAGAGAGAGCGAGAGCAAGAAAGAGAGAGAGAGAGCGAGCGCAAGAAAGAGGGAGAGAGAGCGAGAGCAAGAAAGAGAGAGAGAGAGCGAGCGCAAGAAAGAGAGAGAGAGAGCGAGCGCAAGAAAGAGAGAGAGAGAGCGAGCGCAAGAAAGAGGGAGAGAGAGCGAGCGAGCGCAAGAAAGAGAGAGAGAGAGCGAGAGCAAGAAAGAGAGAGAGAGCGAGCGAGAGUGUGUAUGAUGCUGUACAGCACUGACAGUAAGGCCUGCCAUUAAACUUGAAUCACUCUGCUUUCCUAUAAAUACCUUUCCAAUGAUCUAUGCAUUAUUCAAUCCCUCUCAGGCCAACACACAUCACACACACCUGGGAGGAGACGUAAACAGAGUUCAGAGAAAUGACUGCAUAUAAACAUUUCAGGAAAAUUACCUGUACGAGUGUGUGUGUGUGUGUGUGUGUGUGUGUGUGUGUGUGUGUGUGUGUGUGUGUGUGUGUGUGUAUCCUGCAUGGUGUGGCACCCCUAAAGCUGAGUUGAUAAUGCUAACCACGCGGUAAUUCAGCACCUGUGUCCUUACAGCAACAAGCCCAACAAUGGGUCUGCACUGCUCCCUCAGUUGAAGGGAACGGGGGAGUGAGAGAGAGAGAGAAGAGGAACGGGGGAUGAGAGAGAGAGAGAGAGAGAAAGAGGAACGGGGGAAGGAACGGGGGAGAGAGAGAGAGAAAGAGGAACGGGGGAGAACGGGGGAGAGAGAGAGAAAGAGGAACGGGGGAGUGAGAGAGAGAGAGAAAGAGGAACGGGGAGAGAGAGAGAGAGAAAGAGGAACGGGGGAGUGAGAGAGAGAGAGAAAGAGGAACGGGGGAUGAGAGAGAGAGAAAGAGGAGGAGAGGAGAAAAAAAUCCAGAAAAGUGGAUGGGGAGAAAGGAGAAGGGGACCGGGAGAGUUGCAGUGAAAAAAGAGGGGCAGAUCGAGGGGAGGGAGAGGGAGUUAAUGGAAGAGGAUCUGCCACUGGGGUAUUCUACCAUGGGAUGGGUGACAGAGAGGGGGAGGAGAGGAGAGGAUGGAGGGGCCAGUUAAUCUAUGUUUUAAAAGGUUUCACUCCUCAGAGACCUUCACACACACCAACACUCUCCUACACCAACGACCCCAUGCACUCUCACGAUUCUAUCCAUUACUUUAAUCAAUAGAACAGACCCAAGGCCAGAGCAGCCAUGGUGAUGUUUUCAUCCAAAAUAACAUGCUAGCUAAGUAGCUAUGAUUUCAGACAAAAACCAGGGACGGGGGAGUGGGGGAGUGUGUGUGAUUCUGUUGUACAAAGUACAGUGCUUAUGUACAGGCCUGCCACAAGGAGCAAAUGAGAUCAACCAGUCACAGCUGAUAAAAGACAGAGGAUGUCCUCUUUCCACACACACACACACACACACACACACACACACACACACACACACACACACACACACACACACACACACACACACACACACACACACACACAAAUAGCAUGGUGAUAUUGAAACAGACAAACAGGUGUUCACCUUCACACACAUUAAGACUGAAAGAAUGCAAGCUGGUUUAAUGCUGACUACAGUAGAUUAUCGUUCUCUACAUGUGGCUUGUUUGAUCCCUUCAUAAAUGGGUUGUUUUGUGAGAGCACACUCUGAGCUGAACUUUCCUUUGGGACAACACAGCUCCGUCAAGACACACACACCCCUCCUCUGGGACAUAUUGUGUGCUCUCACACACACAUAAUUUUCACAGGGCUUUCAUACUAGAGGCCAUACCUAGUAAUACACACAUAUCUCAAUUACACUGCUUGGCCAGUAUUAGUGACUCACACACAGGUUCCCCUAAGCAACACACACACACACACAUUUCUGAGGGAAACCACAUGCUUACUUGAGAUAAAUUGGCUCAAAGUUCAAAAUGAACAGUGAUGCAGGUACAUAGAGGACAGGGCAGGUACAUAGAGGACAGGGCAGGUACAUAGGGGACAGGGCAGGUACAUAGGGGACAGGGCAGGUAGGUACAUAGAGGACAGG